GAUCUACAUGUGAUGAUGGUACUUUUAUCACAUAUGUGAGUUCCCCAAAGUUAGUAGAAUACAUCACUGGCCUUGUUUAAAAUAUAAUUUUUAAUUAAGCAAUAUCCAUUUUCUUAUUUCAUAAAACAUGAAUAAUAUGGGCAAGGCAGAAUUUUUGUUUACUUAAUCUCCCUAAGCUGUAAAACCAUCUGUAGGUGGAUCUCGAGAGAUAUAUAAAUUUUGAAUUUUAUAUAAAAUUUAUUAUGAAAUUCACAUUUUUGAGUAAAAAAAAAAAAAAGUCCGCCCCUGUUUUGUGUAUAUGUAUUUUCUUCCAUAUUUUCAGAAACCUAGAGAACUGUGCUUAAAGGUGCUUUACAAUCUGUAAGUAUGGGGACAAAUAAAACACAGAUUGAUUUAGUGGCUGGUAAACUCUUGGAUGCUGCUUUGAGGACAGCCUUUUUGCCAUAAGGUGGAGAGGAAUAGGCUUCCCCAGCUGGCAGGACCUCCGAGCAUGGGAGGUCUGCCCUCUGCGUUUGCUAGUGAGGACUCAAAGGUACAGCCAGGACAGAAUUUGACUUCAUCCACUUAGCAGUCAUGAGCUGGUCUUCUCGGAACUCAUUGUUGGCUGGGAAGCCUUCCUGAACUCCGUGCUAUCUUUGCUCCAAUUCUAAACCUCUGGUUUUUUUCUGUUUGUUGUUUUAUGAACCACAGUCCAUGUCAGUCCAUCACUGAUUUGUUUUAAGUCCCCUUUGGUCCCCUUUCUGGGCCCAGCCUCGGGGCUGGAUCCUGUAUGCUUAGUACUAGUAGACUUGAAGGAAGAAUAUGUAAAUGUAUUUCUCAGACUUGGUUCCCUGUGUGGCAGAUGGAGCUUCCAGUCCUUAGUUCCGUGACUUCUAUCGUAAGGUUUCCUCGUUCCGUAAUCUUAUAUUUGGUCCACUGUAUUAUUAUUUUUCAUAACUCCCUGUUCCCACUUUGUCAUUUGUGUUUGACCAGCAGCCUUUAUGUAUUUUUUUUUUUACUAUUCCACUAAUUGUGGUAGAACAUACACAACAUGAAAUAAACAGUUUUAACAGUUUUUGAGUAAAUAACUCAGUGGCAUUAGGUAGAGUCACACUGUUGACAACCAUUACUGCCAUCUGUCUCCAGGACAUUGAUGUCUUUCCCAAUGGAAACUGUCCUCACUAAACCCAAACUCUCCCUUCUUCUUCCAGCUCCCUGUACCUCCUUUCUGUCUCUGUGAAUGGUUGAUCUCACUUAAGAGAAACGCAAAAGCAUUUGUCCUUCCAUGGCUGGCUUAUUUCACUUAGUGUAAUGUUAAAACGUCGUAUCGUGCUGGAAAGCCAUUCCUCUUUAAAUCAGCCAUUUUCUUAAAGCGUCUAGAAAGUACCACAUAAGUGUUUGGUGCCUGCAGAGCCAGAAGAGGCUAUUGGAUACGCUGAAACUAUAAUCAUAGACUGUUGUGAGCUGCCAUGUGGGUACUGGAGAAUGAAAUGGAGUCUUCCAGAAGAGCAGCACAUGUUGCUGACUGCUGAGCCUUCUCUGUAGCCCCCAUCCACUGUCUUCUAACAUCCAAGUGUUUUUAGUCUGUGUAGCCAGAGUGAGUCUUUUCCUCUAGACCUGUCUUCGACUUUUUCCUCGAAUGACUCUUGUUAAGGCGUGGCCUAUUUCCCUGAGUAGUGUUCUUUGGGCUGUUGAGUAGAGAAACUGGGGCAUUGGUAGCAUAACAAAUGAAUGCCUACUGUAUUACCAGGGGCCCGUGUAUGACCAGUGCACAGUCUUGUGGAAGAGAUGACAGUGAACUCUGCUAAGUGGUGUGUGCUGAAGGAGGAUUGAGAUGGGUCUGCGUGAUCCCCGGAGGCUCAUGGGGAUUUUUUUUUUUUUUGGAAAAGUUCAAAGAAGAGGUCAUAUUUCAAAUGAGCCCGAAAGGAGAGAAGGUGUCCAAGGUGGAGAAAGAUGUGAUUGGCAUCCCAGGAAUGGCUGAGCUCAGACAAGUGAAAACACAUGGUUGCUUGGAAGAGCCACAAGGAGCUGGCCUAUGUGUGCAGGAAGCAGAGAUGGGGGUGGUGGGGGGCUUCGAGUGCAUGGAUUCCAUGUUGUGGACUUGAGGCGUGUGGGAUAGGCUACUUCACGGCUCUGUGCAGCUGCAUCGGUACAGUUGGACCUGUGGGGUGUAGAUGGGUUGGGAUAGGAGGCAGUGGCCUCACAGUGUGCAGGGUUGAAGGAAAGAAAGGAGCUGUGGUAUAGUUUGCCAUCUUUUAGGCAAGAGAUGCCAAGGGCUGAACGAAGGUGGCCACUAACUAACAAGAGUUCAUUCAUGAUGUAGCUGUAGUCCUAUGUGCUGAAAUUCUUACAGCUCCAUCUCCGUGUAGAGUUCUGUGUCUUCAAAAGCCGGUCAGAUCUUUCUCUAUUAUACCCCAACUGGUAAGAGCUAAUUAAUUUAUAAAAGACAAUCUGCGCAGGUUCCUACCUUCAGACAUUUACUCAGGGAUAGUUGGUGAUAGUGUCCUAUGUACCAAGUGAUGUGUCUACAGUUAGAAAGGGACAGCCAUUAAGGAAUGUGAGUGACAUAGAAUGCUCCAAAUGUAACUAAUUAGAAUAAAUCAGUCAUGCUGUGUUAGAACUGCUCCUGACUUCCAGCCUUCUCUGAUCUCUUGACAGCUAUAGAACUCAAACAAAACUCUGAUUUAGAUAUGUAAAAGUCUAACUUCAAAGUAGGGCAAGAUACAUACACAUCUGUACUCCUGCCUUCCAAGAGCGGGAGGAUCAGGAAUUCAAAGUCAGGUUCAGCUACAUAGUAAGUUCUUGGCCAGCCUGGGCUACAUGACAGAACCAGCCUGGACUACAUGAAAGGAACCCCGUCUGAGAAAGCUAAACCAAAACAACCG
rnacentral:lncRNA from 1 species